rnacentral:misc_RNA from 1 species
UUUUUUUUUUUUUUUUUGGGAAGAGAAGUUCGCAUUGCGACUUUGUUAUGUGUCUGGUGUGAUUAUUUGCCAUUGAAAAGGAACCUUGAAUUUCUGAUCAACUGAUUGGUUCUAAUCAUAUUCUUGUAUCUUUCUUUAUCAGUGAUCAUUUGUUCUGCAAUAUUAUAUUAUCAUUUGACCAGCACAUCUGUGACUACAGCAACUAAUCACGCAAGUAUAGAAAGAGAUAAGGCUCAGGCUGGAAAAUUUUGUAGGGGAUGGGCAAUUCCACUAUCCCGAUGACUUUACGAACAGCAAAUUAUAACCACUGGAAGAUUGUUGUAUCGGCACAGCUAUCAUGAAGUUUAUCAAUGCAUUGUCCAGAGUCUGCAAGUGGGGCUCUUUGUAAGAGCAAGAUAAAAAUUUAAAAAAUGACUGAAAACAUGUAACGUGUGCUGCAUUCAGCAGUAAAAUAUUAUCCCACUGGUUUUAGGAACUUGCAUAUCAACUAUAACUUAUCAGUCGAAAUCACUCCAUUCUAUGAGUUUUUUUAAUAUUUUUUAAAAAAACUUAUUUGACUUUAAUUUGAGUACCAUUAAG